ensembl:lncRNA
GUCCUCCUCCCUCUCGGAUCAGUCCGCAUGUUCACGGUGCAUUUUUUAUGUAAUAUGUUGAGCAAACCUGGAGAAGCGUCAGCUCAAGAUAUUAUUGUUGUCAUUGCUGUGGAUUUUUACCUGAUACACUGACUUGGCUCGGGACCAGCACUCCUGUUGUUGGACAGAAAGACAUCAACUUGAGAUAUGACUGCACUAUGGUGUUGCUGGUGACUCCAGUUAAUUCUACAAGACAUGCUGUGACACCAGGAGAGAUGAGUCCUCGGUCACAGAUGGUGUGGUCAGUGAAGAUGGUCGCCUGCAGGUUCAAGCUCAUUGCAUCUCCAACCCACAUCCACUGCCACUGUACUUAAGGGAAGUUAAAGACUUUCUUCUGCACCUACAUUUGGAUCACCUCGAUCCAUGACAGUCAUUCAGGCAGUAAUGCCUGGACUGGAAAAAAGCAUCCUUAAAAUAAUACAACAUUCCAGCUCAUGUGUUGGAAUGGAAAACAAAUGUGUUGUUUAAAUUAGAGACUGCACUUGUGACAGAACAAUAAAUAUUUUAUUUUGAUUAUAUAAGUAAUGUAAGUACAAAACAAACUGUGGUAGGCCUAAACUUAUUUUCAGAAUAAUUACAUCUGAGACUUUGUUUCAUUGUAAGAUUAUAACAGUGAUGGCAAUAUAAUUGUUUGUUGUUCAGCAGAACAGUGUCCAGUAUGUUGGCUGUUAUACUUUGUUGUGUUUGAAAAUAAAAGUUGGGCUCAUUUUAACAUCAUUACAAAAAUUGUUGUUAAUUAUUUUUAAUCAUAUUCAGGUUACCACAAAUUGUUUUUUCAUUUAGUUGAACUUAACAUGUUUGUCAGUAGGUAAACAAUUGGUAUUGUACAGUCAGAAAUAUCAAGUUCUUGUUAAUACUGCAGACUUGCAAUGUAUAAGUUGUCCUAACAGUCAUCUUAAGUAAGCUUUACUUAGUUUUUUUGAGGCAACGAGUUUCCAUAAUUUUUUUGAGUUCUGGGAACUAACAAGGCUGUACAGUGUACUCAAAAUGAGUAAGUUGCCCUAACUUGGUCAUCUUAAGUAAACCUGAUCCAAUUUUUUUGAGUUCUGGGAACAAAUGAGCUUGUACAGAGUACUCAAAGUAAAUAAGUUGUCCUAACUUAGUCAUGUUUAGCUAAGCUUUACUCAAUUUUUUUGAGGCAACGAGUUUCCAUAAUUUUUUUGAGUUCUGGGAACUAAUUAGAUUUUACAGUGUACAUGUCCCAAAGGUCAUGAUAACAAAGGACGAUUAAUGCAGCAGGAGAAAGUGCUUUGUCAUGGUGGAAAAGAUAAAUAAACAAGAAGCACUUGGAGAGUACAAACCUCCACCGAGGCACUUCUCCACUCUCUGGACAAUAUUUACUUUUAAGGCAAUAGUAUUAAAUUUUCUAUAUAUUUAUUCUGUUUUGUUAUUUUUAAACAAAAAAGUUACUUUCAAACUUCUUUGUUUAAGAAGUUUAUACCUCAAGGAAAUAAACCCCACUGAUAAUGCCUCAGCCUACUGCCUCAAAACUCGAGUGCCUUAAACUAUAGUGAUAAUGUAUGAAUGUUAAAUGUGGCAUGAUACUUGUUGCAAACUAUAAUGUGAUAUUAAAAAAUCAAUUCAAUUUUAAUUUUAUUUUCAGCUGGCUUCCUUUUAUACUCUACCUGAUUCAGGUAAGCAUCUGGAAUAACCCAAGUUAUAAGCAAACAUCAAACCACAAUACAACACAUGGAAAAAUAUAUAUAUAUUCAUAAUAAGUCCUAUAAAUAAUUUAAUAACACAUACGCUUCAGCUCAUAAGCAGGUGAUUGAGCUGCUUUUACCAGUUUGCACCACAUCCUGUGACAGAAACAACCAGGAUAAGGUGAGUACUGCUAACACACUUCUCUUCAAUACAUGUACAAGCAAUUUAGGUUUACGAAACAAAUAAAUUGUGAAGAGCUCUAACCCAGGUUCUUUUUCCUGACACAGGUAGGACGGCCAGUCCCCCUCUGUCUCUUCGCCUUCCACAAACAGUCACUUAAAUAGUAACCCAAAUGUCAAACCUGAUAAACCUAAUAAAGAAUCAC